UACGUAGGGUGCGAGCGUUAAUCGGAAUUACUGGGCGUAAAGCGUGCGCAGGCGGUUCGCCAAGUCUGCUGUGAAAUCCCCGGGCUCAACCUGGGAAUGGCAGUGGAUACUGGCAAGCUAGAGUGCGGUAGAGGGUAGUGGAAUUCCCGGUGUAGCAGUGAAAUGCGUAGAGAUCGGGAGGAACACCAGUGGCGAAGGCGGCUACCUGGACCAGCACUGACACUGAAGCACGAAAGCGUGGGGAGCAAACAGG
rnacentral:rRNA from 1 species